CAUGUGCAUGUGUGUGUGCACAUGUGUGUGCAUGUGCAUGUGUGUGUGCACAUGUGUGUGCAUGUGUGUGCACAUGUGUGUGCACAUGAGCACGUGUGUGUGUGCGUGCGUGUGCAUG
rnacentral:miRNA from 1 species